GAUUGGUUUAUGCACCAGAGUCCAGUUACUGCACAGUGACAAACUGGUGUUGGCUUGUCCUAAGCAAGGUGCCCAGUUGUGCUGUUUUUCUGCACUGAAAAUUUAGGUACUUCAAAUGUCCUGCAAGGAGAAAGGGCUGCUGAUACAAAGAAAAUUAGAUUUAGUGCCUUCUUUCCUCACCUCCAGCAGAUUUUGCCUAAAAUCCACCGAGAGAGCCCUCAAAAUAUCUGAUGCCCAGGAUGUGCUGGAAGUGCUGUUACCUCUGUGUCCCCCAGAGAUGUUCCUCCCCAUGACCCUGCACAGCGCUCAGCUUAACUCUGGUAGAACCUCGCAGCCCUGCUGUCUUACAGCAGCAUUUCCCAGAAGGAAACAUUUCUCCUGCUUUGUCUGUAUACACCUGCCAACGUGGACUGGGAGCCAGGAUGUGCUGCUCUGACCUACUGGCCGACUUGGCCGGAUUGAAGUACCCAAGUUCCGAUGUUGUGUCUCUUCUGGCAAAAGAAAAACGACAGCUGAGUAAAGCAGAGGUUUAUUCUCAGUGCCUAAUGCAGGUGUCUAUUGAUAAUGCAGUGUAAAAACAAUUUUGGGGCCUGUCCUCCUAGCUGCUGAAACUGCAGAAGAGCAUACUUGGCGUGCUGAGGUUCCAGGCUCUGUGCAUCCUCUGGGAUGGAUCUCAUCGCUGCCCUUUCCGCUGGGGACCAUGCAGGGGACACAGAAACGCUGCUGCCAAGGGGUGCAGAGAAGGAUGCGACAGCAUCACCAGCCUUGGAAGAAGUGACAGCAACAAGGGAGAUGGAAAGUCUGAAGGUGGCCAACUCUGAUGGAGCAGUGAUGGAAGCGUCAGAAAACCCAGAGGCAGAAGGAAUUGCUGAAAUGAUCCGAGCAGCAGAAAGAAUAGCAAAAUGCGAAGUGGCCAAAGUGCUGCAGUCAGCAAUAGCUGAGCUCAAAGAGAUGAGGAGGAGCACGUGGUUAAAGCCAAGGAACACCACCCAACAGGAGGAGGAGGACUGGGAGAAGAAGUGAGAGGUGAUGUGAAGUGAAGGUUGGUUCGUACCCAAAGUGGAGCGUUCCCAUUACGCCCCCUUUGUAAGUGCCCACGCUAUUAGAAAUAAAGAUAUGCCACAUUCCACGUGCAGUAUCUUUCAUGGAUUUGAAGGCCCUUGUCUCCUGGCUUUGUGAAAUGACAGCUCCACACCAGCUCCUCCGCGAUGAGGGAGGGCAAGGAGCCGAUUGUGAUGGAAAAUGUGCUGCUGGCAUGAAAUGGUAUAAAAAAAAGAAAUAAUUUUAAAUGUCAGGUCAAGUUGCCAUGCCCUGUAGGCCAAGACAUGAUCUGCGGGAGGACUGCUAAUGUGAAUUAGUUUCACAUCCCAGCAGAGCAGGUGCAGUUGCUUGCAGCCUAUCCAGUGUGCUCCAGCUCUGCAGCAUUUCUUGUCUGGGUAGGACUGGUAAGUAUGAUCACUUUUCUGUUUUGUUCUUCUAAUUUUGGUUACUUAUCUGGUGCAAGUAAUGGGAAAGACCUCUCCAUCCAGACUGAUAAUGGUGAAAAGACAGAAAAAGUCCACAAGAAAGUCUGGAAAUUGGAAUCAAUGCCUACAGUGGUAUCGUCAGCGUGAAUGCCAUGCUCCCCAGGCAGUGCAGGUUGUUGUUAGAAUGGCCUUUGUGAUUUUGAGAGAGAAAUAUGGUUUCUUCUAGGGUUGUUUUCUCAGCCUGUGAGGUAUAGGUAAGUUUGGUGAUGGAGCAGUUGCCACAGGAAGAGAACUGGUGACAAGGUGGUAUGGAGUGUGGGAUCAGAACCGAGAAGUCUUGGUGCAUAUCUCCCAGAUUCUCCUUGAAGGAUGAUCACAGUGUGAUGCCUCCAGUCAAGGGGGAAAUGUACCCUUCUCCUGCAGUGACGUCAAAGGGGUUUCAGAGCCCUUCGCAGUGCACCCAGCACCAGCGCUGCCUUUGCUCUGGGGCAGUGACAGCCAGGGAGGGGAGAACAGCAACCUCUGCUCAGAGCUCAGCCCCCUGGCCCUAGAUCUGAGGAGACAGAGCCCGCCCUCCCUUCCCUUACAAUAAUUUUAUUUUAUUACAAAAAGAGCCCAUAUUAAAAAAGCUCAUGAUUAUGUUUUCUGUUCACCAAGACUUUUCCUGUAUUCGACCUUUGGAUAACCUCCAAGGCUUGCAAACAUUUGAAAGGAGUAAAGGAGCUCGUUUUAUUGCAGGGCCUCAGCAUACAUUCUUUCCAGCCUAUCUUUAACAUCAGUUGACAAGAAUUAUAUAAUUGCAGUCUGUGAUCCCUUUAAGGCUAAAACGUAUUCGUUUUCCCUCAAAGAACACUUCAGGUUUCAGAGUUAAAUGCAUACAUUUUUUUCCAUCUGGGCUAUUCUGUAAAAAGCUGCUUUCUCCUCAGCUGGCAAGUCCCAUUCUACCAAGUUGCAUGGAUUUAUUUUUUACUGCGGUUUUCAGCUCACAUGUUAACAAGUAGAAGAAAGAGCCUCCAAAUCCCAACCUGUGUUUCCCAUUGCAUUGGAAAAUUAGUGGGUUCCAAAGACCACGCAGGGGGAAUUAUCCUCCUUAGGUGGAACCAAAUAAAAUCUCAGCGUGCUGAUUUAAUCAAAUUAGUGUCUAAUGCUAAUUGAUAGGCAGCCUGGAGACGGACAGGUAGCUGGACUGGAUCUGAUCUCGCAUUUCAGAGGUAUGAUGUAACCCUCUGGGUCAGGAAGGAAUUGCUGUUCUCCUAUCAGAAUGGCAUCUGCCACCAUGCUGUAGGAAGCCGUGGACAUCAGAUACUCAGAUUUUCAUCGCCAGGGGAGAUGAGGACAGGACGGAAAGCAAUCCUUGUGCUUCAUGGAGGCUUUUCCCAGAGCUCUGAAGGUCAGAUGCUCACUUUUCCAGCUGAGGAAUUUGGGACUAUUCGUGCUGCCUACCUUUAAGGUGCCUGUUUUGUGUCCCGAAGUGAUGAAGCUCUUCCUUCGAACUUCUGUGCUUCCUCUGGAAUGAACCCUUAGAGACCAGCCUCCCAGAACUGGGUACGAAGAUCAGCGUAUAACUGAAAUGCCAUCUUGCAGAGCACAGUGACCUCUCUGGAGGGCUGUCCUUGGGCUGUGGCUUCAUGCUCCCCUGUCCCACGGGAGACACUGGAUUUCCUUCCUAGCCUGUCUCCCACGGAGCACUUUGGAGUACUUAUGUUUCUGUAGUGCAGGACUAAUCUGGAAAGCAGCUCAGAGCACACGUGGGAAGGUGUCCUAUGCAAAGGCUGCCCUCAAGCACCGCUCUGCAGCCCCAGCUUGGCCAUUCACGGUGCGUUUUGUUUGCCAAACAUAAAUUGAAAUAGGUCUUGAACAAUUGCACUGGCAUGUGUGUGUCUUUUUCUCCAGCCAAGCAGUGAAGGCACCGUGGCUCCUGUUACAGAGCAUGCCAAUACUUGGAACACGCUCCUGCCAAUAUCCCACAUAAAUCACGCCUUAUCCAGCCCUCCUCAGUCCUUCUGGAGAUUCCUACUUCACUGCAAGUGAUAUGUGAUGGAUCUGUGCUUCCUCGGAGCAUCACAUGGCAGGCAGAUCUCAAUAUGCAUAUUUACGCCUGGAGCUGCACCUCGACUCCUUGGGUUGCAUUGCGUAUGUGUAGCGAUUCCACGGCCAAGACUGCUUGCACAGGCCGUGCUUCCCACACCUCCCCACCAUGUCAGAACAAUGACCGUGGACAAGAUUAAACCUGGCACCAUUCUCCUCCUGCACACAGAGGCAGAACUGCGGCUCUGCUGAAGACCGCAGGAAUUACCCCGGGGCUGGCUUGCAACCUCCGCUGCAUCCUUUCUGUGCAUGGUAACGAGGUGCUUUUCUUCUGCCAUGAGACCUACACGUGUCACGCUCGCUUGUGGCAUCGUCCUCAUUGCAGUUCCACGUGGAAGAGCAGAGCCUCCCAUGCCCAGACCCUCCUGCUUGGCCGCUGCCUGAGGAUGCGUGUCUUGCCAAGGUUUUGCCUUAAGCAGAGGAAGGAUGAAAAAUGCAGGGCCAGAGACUUUCUUACAGCUGAAAACCGCUGUCUGCUGCGCUGCUCCUCGGGACAGCACCGAGCAGGGAAACGCCUCCGCCACCCAGCAGUCAUUCUCUUCAUAGUGGGACAAGUGCAGAAUGGUGGAGGGGAAGCUCGGAUGGUGGUCCUGUCCAGGGAGACGCAGCCUCAUGUCUCCCACCCUCCUCCGCUUUGAUGACUGAACAUGUAGGACCGGUAAAACUCAAAUUUCAGAAGGGCUUUUUUUGAUAGUUAUAUAAAGGCAUCUAUUCCCGGAUAAGAUCUUCCAAGCAGAUCUUAUCUGGGAAUUAUUUUUGUGGUAGCAAUGGGGUGAUCAUCACAGAACCAUUAAGGCUGGAAAAGCCCUCUAAGGUAAGCCAGUCCAACUGUUCGCCUGUGACCAAUAUUGACCAUUAACCAUCAUCUCUGCUCUAAGUGGUUAAUCUUAACUGAAGCUAGAACACCUGAAAAGAGACAGCUGUAGUAUUUCUCCAGCUCUGGAGGUGGCAAAAACCUCUCAGCUAAAACAUUUGUAGCAAAUAAAUGGAUGCAGUUGCAGUGAUGUUUAAGCUUAGUGACUUCAUCUCAAUGCAGCUGAAUUAUUGCACUUUGUAUUUUCUGUCCCUCUCCCACACAGCAUGAAACAUUCGUUCCCUAGAAAUUUCCUUUGGUUUUAUUUAAACCAUUAAAAGUAAAACAAAUAGUACCUCCCUCAAGAAACGGCUGAGUUGAGCUAAGCUUCUUGCUCUGCUCCAAAUUUUUGAGAAAUACUGAUUACAUCAAAAUGAAAAUCAGUGUGUUUCGGGUGUUUGAAGGAGAAUUCUUGUUUCCUUUUAUUAUCUGGAGUUCCUCAACGAAAAAAACUACUUCCAAUUGAGCCACCUGGACAGUGAUUUGCAGAUUGAAAACAAACAGAAUCUCAUGGUUAAAGAGGUUCCUGAACGGGGGCAGGUGCUGUUGCAUUGCUCUAGAUUCCACUUGGAGAGCUGAAGGAACCAAAGGCACUGACUCAGAGCGUCUCAGCAGGAUUGAUCCAAUACAGACUGAUGACUGGCGUCUACGUGGAGGGAAAAGCUGAAGUCCUGCUCACAAUGGGUUCUCAGGACUCGCUGUGCACUUUGCCUCCCGACCUCCUGUUUUGCUGCAGGACCCCACAGAGCACACCCCUGAAAUCAGCCUUGCACAUACAAGGAGUGAAACCAUGGAGGGGAAGGAGUGACCCCGUGAAGGAGUGGAGACGCCAGAGCUGCAGGGGAGAGGCUGCCUGGGAAGUCAGAUGAGGACAGAAGGCAUCAGCCUUUCCAGGAAAGAACCUGUCCUUGCACAUUUCCUCGUGUCUGGGCUUCAACAACGUGAUUGCGAGCACAUGAGAAGAAGAAAACACCCCCCAUUUUGCUGAGCCCCAGCAGGGUGAACAGAGGGAAAAGGUGCUUCAGGGCAGGAAGAAACUGUGAAGAAACAGGUUUGGACAGGAGUUGAAGGAUUGUAUGCCCAAUUGAGCCUACAACUGAAAGCAAUGAGCUGGAUGGACACUCCUGGUAUGGGGUUGGAGGGUGAGUACUACCUGCCUGAGUACCACACCGCUUCCUUUAGGACACUGGGAGAUUUGCUGGAGCUCGCCCAUCUGACCCAAUCCUCCACAUGAGAUCUGGCAAGAUAAUCACUCCAAGCGUCUGGGGAGCAUCACUAGAAGCAAGUUCAGGGUAAAGAGAGGGUGUGAUGCAGCAGAAAGAAGCCCUUGCUUUCUCCACUGCACCUGAGGAACCAAUGGCAGAUGAUGGAGACAGAAUGGCUCACUGCUCUCAUGGCUGGAGAAGCGGUGGGAAGCUCUUGGCACCACAACCUCUGAGUUAAUGUACUCUGCUCUGCUCGCUGUGCCUCCUUGCUCCCAGCAUGGGCAUGGACUCCUGUUAUGCAGCAUGCCACAUUUUUUUCCUGCGGAAGACACCAAGAUUAGAUGAGAGGACGUGUUCGGCAGCAGAAGAGAAAGUCUCUGGCCAGCACACUUGAACUUUGGCCAGGCUGGCUUACCCAAGCAGUGAUUUUGGUCAACACACAACUUCUGUCCUGACCUUGCCAUCACAGAGGAAAAUGUCCAGUUAUGCAGCCUCCAGACUAAACCGCCACCAGCCCAAUGGAGACAACCUCAUCUGUGAGUGAACUGCAAGUUCGUUUGCCUUUCUUGGAGAUGAAAACCUCUCAGCAGCUCAUGAGAUCGCACAAGAAGGUCUGAAUCCCUCUGCAUGGGAGUGGGUAGUCCCUGUGCUGGCUGAUGUUCCAGUGGAAAGUAGAAGGGGGAUUCAGACAGAAGAGAAAUUCUAGAGGGGAGAAUAGAUGCAAGAAAUUCCUAGGAAUGUCACAGAAACCAACAACCCCCACUCCGCUCCUUCCAAACCAACCCACCUAAAAAAUGCCAUUUUGUGGGCUAUUUUGGAAAGGAGUCCAUGCCUGGGGAAUUUUUGGCUGAUGCUUAUGGCUUUUAGAAGUUUCUGGGAGAUCAGACGAAUAGAAACAGGAACCAGAUGGGACUUCUAGCUGCUGGAAAGAAAGGGAGAAAGAAAGGAAAAAAAAUAAUCCAUCCCUUGUUUAAAAUCUGAAGAGCACUUGUUCACUUUUGGGGAGUUUCCUCUUCACCCUGGUUUUCUUAUUUUAAAGUAAUUUAGCCCGGUUCCAUUAUAUUCUCAUAGGACGUUUCUCUCUUUUGUUGUUGUUGCUAGGAAUUUUUCUUUCUUUUGCAAUAAAAACCAGUUUAUUCUUAGGAGAAUUUAAGCCUUUGCCUUACUAGAUAAAAAGAAAGCCAGCUGUUGGUUUUGUUCUCACAGCAACCUCAACAUCCCUUGGCCAUUUACUCACUGAGUUUAUCUCUGUGUGGCUGCAAAAUACAAAAUAAGAUGGUGGUAGUGAAGAGUAGAGCAAAGUCAGAGAUGGCUCUGAGCUAGCAAAACUGAGUGUGCGUAAUUUCCAUUUUAUGUAGAUGACCAUAAAAGGGAAAGUUGCACUAUUCUGAAAUGUGAGGUGCACUCAAACAUGGACUGCAGAUGCCUGGUGCCCUCAAUGACCCAACCUGUCGAGUAAAGUGUUGGACUUGUAGAGUCCUGAUUGUUGGGUUUUGGGGGGUUAUGGAUCAACAAAAACCCCAGCCUGGUCCAGUCCCAGGCUCCGUUUUAUCAGACCUUGGCUCUGGAGCUGGUUCAUUUCUGGAAUAUAUCCCAGAGGCUGAAUAAGGGCCAAGGAGCAUUUUCCAGCUCCUGUGUCCAAGCUGGACUCCGUGCUGGGAGUCGCAGUCCAGCUGAGAUCUGACACCAUUCUGGAACUGCGCUCGGUUGUGCAUCAUCCCCGUAGUCUUUUCUUUCCGUACUGAUGGGCCAGAGGGAACCAGUGCCAUACAUCAUAUUGUGCCCCUACUCUACUCAGGAGAGUCAUGAGAUCUUAUUCCCUGGCUGGUGAGAAGAAUGGAAAAUAGAUAGCAGCUCAUAGGUGAAGGUGAUAAUUGGCUAUUACCGUAUUAAGAAGCUUUGCCAAUGAUCUUCUUUUAAGCAUUCUGCUUUUAAGGAACUCUUUUAGUGGUUAACAUAUCUUCCAAUUUUCCAGAUAUUUACUGCUUCCUGGAAAAAAAUGCACUCUUCCCAGGAUCCUAUCUUGUUUUACGGUCUUCCUCUCUUAACAUCAUCUCAUAUUAUUUCUCCUGCUCUCUAAUCUGCAGCCAUUCCCAAGACAGGGUCAUCAACACAAUGCAAUGGCCCUUGAUAAACUUUCACCCAUGGUUUGCGUGUCAGUAUGAGAGGAAAUCCGUCCUUGGGACUAAAUAAAUGUGUAUUUCUAGGGAUUGGAUGCUUCACAACCAACACUGAGAGUGUGCUGUGUGUUAUGAUGCUUACUAAUGGUGAUGCACAAAGUCAACAGUAGAUCUUUUAAGACACAAUAGUUGAUGUAAAUGUGCGUGCAUUUGAACACAUGGCUUUGGUUCCAAGGUUCGUCACAGACAGACCUAACUAAGCCAGCUGCUUGAACCCUCUGUUAUGGUGACCAAUUGAUUAGAUUAGUUUAAAUGAAAAAAAUGCCCCCAAAUGUAAAGCUUUGGUUUUGUACAUCCAAUUUGAGCUCCGACUUUGUGGCUUGCUUUUUUCUUUUAGCUCUAGCUGGUCAGGCAGGAUGUCCCAUAUUAGAAUGCUGCUCAGUUGUUGUUGUUCUUUGUGGUUCCAGUGAGCUGUUUUUUUUUCAGAAAUGUCUGGAAGGAAAGAGACAGAGGGGACUUGCUUCACAGGUUUUGUACAAAAGCUUUUAUUUUCCCUUUUUUCCCCCCUCCUUUUCACUUCUCAUGGAUCUGAUGUGCGAGUGCUCUCAGGAGCGACAUGCUCAGAUUCUAAAGCAAAGCGCUUAUCACAUGACUCAGGUGACUGCUGUUGCAGUUGAAGCAGUAUCAUCCUAGGAAUUUUGUUUGAAUUCAGCUGCCAGCUCAAACAAAAGUCAUCUGAGUAGGCAAGCUUUUACUGGUUUCACUUUGGCUUCCCACGUCGGUUUAAUUUGGCCCAUGUUUGCUCAAAAUGUCUCCAGCUGUCUAGAAACUUGUUCCUAGCGUUCUGGAACACUCACAACCCUUUUGGCCAGUGUGACCUUAGUUGUAAAGGCUGGAUGUUGUUUAUUUCAGAUCAUUUUUACUAGCUCUAUUAUACAUAAGGCAGCUCACAUAAUUGUAAGAGACAAAUGUGUUGGUUGCUGUCCUUCUGUUCACAGGUUCUAAGUUACUGUUGUCCACAAUGCUCAGGCAUGAGAUUUCCCAGAGAACACCACCUCGUUUUGUUCCAUGGGAGUUUUUGCUAAUAUUUUCUUUUAUAUUAUCACUCUCAUUGUUUCUCUGCUGGAAACUUUCCAUGCACUUCACAUGGAGGACCAAAGUGUCAGAAGAUUAAAGGAAUGUCUUUUUGCCCAACUAACAUGAACUGCACGCUGAACUAGGCACAACUAUGCACUACUCAGAAAAAGAAAUGCCUUCUAAAGAAGUAAGUGGCUGGAAGGAGGCAGUGAAAAUCCAUCAGAUUUGCAUGACUAAUUAGCUUAUCCACUAGUUAUUAUCCUUGUGUUUGCUUGCAAUGAGAAUCUUCAAAGAUUAUUCUAUAUUGGACAUAUAGCUGACUUUUUGCUUACACAAUUCUUUCUGUACCCACAUAUUGCUGUGAUGGCUGCUCUACUUCAGCAAAUGUAAUUUGCUCUUUAGAUCAGGUGCAAGUCAGGGAGGCCAUAAGAAGGAAGGAGAAAGACUCUUCAGCAGGGUCUGUUGUAAUAGGACAAGGGGAAAUGGUUUCAAAAUAAAUGAGGGGAGAUUUAGGCUGGAUGUAAGACGUUUUUUUACAAUUAGGGUAGUGAGCCAUAGGUAGCCCAGAGAGGUAUUGGGUGCCCCAUCCUUGGAGACAGCCAAGGUCAGGCUGGACAGACUCUGAGCACCUGAUGGAGCUGUGGGUAUCUCUGCUCAUUGCAGGGGAGUUGAAACAGCUGGCAUUUAAGGGUCCCUUCCAACUCAAACAAUUCUAUGAUCUUCCUUACUCAUAAAUGUUGAGAGGAUAUGUGUUGUUCUCUUUUUUUUCAAAAAAAAACUGAAUAUUACCUUUAAAUGACUCCUCAUGUUUCUAUAUAUCCUACAACUAAUUAAACUUACUGCUGGGGAAAGGAUUAAUUUUCAUGUGCUCAAAGCAGGGUGCAGGAAGCAUGUUACCUUGGUGUUCUGAAACGUGGCUGAAAAGUAAAAAUUUGAGGGUUUUUUGUUUUGUUUUGUUUUUGUUUUGAAGUGCCUGCUAGGUAGUUCUCUUAGAAAGGCUGGUAGAACUGAAAAAGAGGACUGAUGUAAUAAAACUGCCUUUUGACAAAUCAUUCCAAAGAGCUGAAUUCAGCACUGUUCUCUUUCUGAGCAUCGCAACCAAGCAGGUUGGUAUCAUUUCCUGUUUUCUGACAUUCACAAACUUCCACUGGACACAAUAAAACACACAAAAGUCAUCUAAUUUUAACAACAACAGUAAGUAUCAAAAAUACUUUCAACCUGAUGAGGCCUUUAUGUAUACAAAGAAAGAAAUAAAAUCUGUGUUUGUUAUCUAAUCUAUCAGCUUCCUCUUAAGAAAUCUUAUAUCCCAGAAUCAUAGAAUAGUUGAAAGAGGGAAUCUUAAAUGCCUUCUAGUCCGACUCCCAUAUCUGAGCCUUAUGUAAUUGAGGAAGCUUAAUUUUCCAGCUCAGUUGUAUUUAUUUUUUUCGUAUAAGAGUUUUCAAAAUCAGAGACAGGUCCCAUGGGGACAUGCCAGGUGUGUUUUGCCCAAAGUCAAAGUUUGGGCUCUUACCUUCACCUACUCCCCUCUCAGUGAGAAUGAAAGAGAAGGGGCAAUUGAUACUCUCUCUAAGCAUUUGCCCAUAAUUUCUGUAAAUUUUUUAUAGGGCUUCUAGGAAAUAUUAACCGUGUGUUGUCUGGAGCAUGAAGUGGUUGAUGCCUCAUCCCCAGAGACACCCAAGUUCAGGCUGGACAGUGUUCUGAGCACCUGAUGGAGCUGUAGGUGUCCCUGUUCAUUGCAGGGGGGUUGGACCAGAUGGCCCUAAGGUCCCUUCCAACUCAAUUGAUUCUAUGUUCGAAGCAUCUGCCCUCUGCUGCCUGGACAGUGGAAAGAGGGACAUUGCAUCCUUGGAAUUGUCUGAAUUUCUGCAGUGCUCUCCAUGCUUUGGGUCUCCCAGGUUCCAUAGGCUGGCAUUUCACAACAAGGACAUCCCCAGAGCAGCUUGGGACCUCCACGGGGUGCAUCACCCGAAGAAAAUAGAGAAAUGAAGACGAAAAUGGGUCCGGCUUUGCCCUGGGGGAGCUUGGGACUACCGAUGGGCACAGAAGAUUCAGCUUGGAAGCCAAUGGUUUAAUCGAAGCAUUGCAUGGAAGGUCCGGUCCUUGGCUGAUUGAUGGCUUGCUUGCUGACAGCUGGAAUGGCUCAUUCUUUGGGGCAGAAACCCAGUGGCAGCACUCAGUGAAGCAAGUGUUGAAGUGUUGACCCUUCCUGAGCCGUAAGUCUAGAGGAAACCAGUUAUUUUAUAUUAAUUUUUUUUAAUCCACUGGGGAUGGAAGGAAGAGUUGGUUGCUUCCUUGUACCUUACAAAGAAAUAGCCUCAUCCCCUCCCCCACCGUCCCUAUUGCUGGGUGCAGAAACUGUUCAAAUUAACCAAUGUUGGGGUUUUUGGUGGGUUUUUCUUUUUUCAACCAAAAAAAUCUAAAGGCAAAUAGUAUGAGGUCCUACAGCAGCCCAGCAUCUCUCUGAAUCCUUCCCCAAGCAACUUUUUCAACAGCACUUGGCCGCAAAGUCUAGAGAGCUCAGAGAUACAAAAUUCUUACAGGUUUUAUGAGUAGAUGGUUGAAUGGAGAUGACAGAGUAAAUUAGCACCUCUAUUGCAAAAAGUAGUGUUGUAGUGUUAAUUAAUUCCUUAACAAACAGCAGAGGAUCCUCAGCAGAGGCUGGGUCAAGGGGAGCCAAAGGGCUUUCUGAUCUCCCCCAGCUGUGGAGAAGCUCCAGUUAAAACUCUCACUUUAUCAGCCAUCUCACUGUGCAGUGGCACCUUGAAAAACAAACAAACUGGUUUUAUUUGUUCCCCGUCUCUCAGAACUUCUUGCUUAUGUGACAUCUUCAUUGAUAACUUAUGUGCAUGUGGGAGCUCUUCUGUAUCUCCUCUUUAGUCUCAUUUCUGAAGGAAAGGAAUAUCCCCUGGCUUAGAGCCACAUUGGAUGGGGUGAUACAACAGAAAGGAAACUUUCCAGUUUUGUCCUCCAGUCAAGAAAGAGGGCUGGUGUAAAUAAUUCCUCACAAAUGAGUGCUUUGAUAUCUUUGGCUCUUUCAGACUAUCUGGGAGUAGAUGCUUGAUAAAUUUCUCAUUUUAACUGGUGUAGCAAAUCUCUGGAGAAACCAACUGCUGUUUGCUGCACAUCUAUAGUAGUUAGCCAGAUUCCUCUGUUCUGAUUUGUCAGAUAGAGUGACUGAUGAUGUUUGUAAAUGUAAAUUUUAAGUUUCCUCAAAUUCUAGUGUGUAAAGCUUCAAAACAGUCAUUUUCUAUAAACACUGUUGCUUGAAAAAGUCCUGCCACUUGAAUAUCUGGUGAAGAUGAAUGCUCAUUGCAUGCAGAGUUGGCAACGAAGCACCCAUCUAUAAACAUAGAGUUACUAUUCAUGGAGAUUUCUUUUAUCCUCUUUCCAGUUGUACAAACACACCACCGCCACCACCCCCGGCAAUAUUGCAUUGUAAAUUACCCUCCUUUUAAAAGCCCUCUCCCCUUAGUGCUUUUCAUUCAAGAGAUGGGAGACAGCCUUGGGCUUGUUGUCUUCAGAUCAAAUACAAGCUGCAGACUGAGUAUUCACCUGAAUUAUAUGAACUUCUGCUGUAGCUAUUUACUUGUUGUGAUACAUUUCCUUUUCUUGAUUAACUAAGCUCUGAGAGGGCACAUCUGCUUCAGCAUUGCCCCCUCAAGGCAGUCCAUCAGCCCUCUGUCACAUCUUUUUCUCCCACCUUUUCCUUGCCUGAUCCUCUAUGAUCUGUUACAACCCCAUGAAGGGCUCCAUGCAACGGACGUGAGCAAUAUUUAGGGAGACGAAGUGCUGCAAAUCUAUUCUAAGUAGUUAUAUAGUGCCUCUCUAUAGCAUCCUAUGAUGCUCCAAGGUCUGAAUGAGCAGUCUGGUCUCUUGACUUCAAUGGUGUUCAUUCAGCAUCUUGGACGCCAGGUCCAGGCUGGUCUGGACCCUGGAUACUAAUGUGCCAAAGUCCUUAAACAUCUUAAAUAUGUAUGUGUAUAUAUCGGACACUGCAACAGGCUGCCCAGAGAGGUGGUGGAGUCACCUUCCCUGGAGGUGUUUAAGAAUCAUGGAGAUGUGGUACUUAGGGACAUAGUUUAGUGGGCAAUAUUGGUGAUAGGUGGAUGGUUGGACUAGAUGAUCUUAGAGGUCUUUUCCAAUCUUAAUGAUUCUAUGAUUCUGUGUUCAGUGCUGUUUUAUUAGAAAUUGAACCGGACUAUGAUUUGUGGUUAAAAUAAAUACAAAGCAAUUUAUUAGAACACACUCUUAGAGCCACAGAGCCUCUGCAAGGCAUUUUCCUCCAUUAUGCUAUCCAAGUACAGGAGGUGUUUACUGUAUGGUUUACUACGUGUCAUCCAAAACCCCUCCAUAAACAGCUGUUGAUUUGCACAUAGGAACCAUGCGAGGGAGAAAGGAGAGCAGGAGCCUUAGGCUGAGGCUUUGAUCAGGGCCCUGGGAGUGCAGCGUGCCCCCACCGCCCAGCACACCUCAUGCCAUUGCCACAUCCCAUGCCCUGCAGUCCUCGCCCAGCGGUGCUGCUAUCUGCCACUGUGUUCUGCUCCCCGGCCCCUCUCGCCCUUUGAAGAUUCCCCAUUGUUUGGGCUAUUAACAUACUUUCUGGGUGGAUGUUUAUCUUUUUUGAAACUUUUACAGCAGGCGCAUUGUUAAAGCGAACCCUUCGAAGCUCCUUGCAGGCGAGCACCACCAGCGCCCUUCGGUGAGCGCAGUGCAGCUCUUCCCUUUAUUUGAUCAGCUUCAAAUACCUAACAGUUCUGUAAGUAAACAUUUAUAGAUCAAAUCAAAAGCUCGCAGAAGGAAGCACUCUCGAUAGAUUAGAAGCUAAACUGAUCUAAAUUAGAAGAGAUGCAGAGAUAACCUUGCCUGGCUAAAAAGCAUAUACUAUCAGUUGCACGCAGAUAAUUAAAUGAAUGAGCCCUUUUCUAUUGAACAACUGAUGUGCAAUUGAUAAACUUAAUUAAUAAUUAACUUUUUAAUUAAAUAUCAAUUUAAAACAAGUGUGGUAAUGUGCCGCUUGCAUUUAAUUUUGCUGCCUUUUCUUCAUUAAAGAAGCGUCAUUAGGGUUACAGGUAUCUGUUUAAGAUGCUUCUGUGCACUGCACAGGGAAUAAAUGUGUCCGCUAGGCACUUGCCUAUGAGGAGAUGGCAGUAAACAACAGCACCCAGAGACAAAGCCAGCGUGCAACUUCUGAGAGGCAGCAGGAACUGCAGAUAAAAGGCAUGUACAUCUCGAUCCAUAGCUUUCUCAGCAGCAGAAGGCCGACCUGUUGUAUGCCCUUGUUUGCAUAAGAGAGGCUGUGAUGGGUAUAGAGGAGCUGAGCCCCUGUAGCAGCCCUUUGGGAAGAAGGUCCCUCUCCAGCUUUAUGAAUGGAGUGGCUUAGUGAAGGCAAGGCUAAGUAUCCAGAGCCACGAGUUAUUGCCUUGUUUCGGCAAACGAUCCUUAAUAAGCGAGGGAAAGCUGCGAUCUUUUUGCAUGCGUCCUCUCACAUGAUGCCUUAGUGCAAUUCCUAUUAGUGCUAAUGGGGUAAUUGGCUCCCCUCAAAGUGAACUCCCUAUAAUGCAUCCACAUAACUUGAUUUGAGAGUGUAAAUCCCAUUAGCCUGAAUGGCGAUCUUCUCUGCCUCUCAUUUACCCAUUUGAUCCUGCAAGCACUAACAGCCGAUCUCGUCUCCCUUUGAAAGCGAUAAAUAGUCAUCCGACUUCCUCUAAAUGGCUCUCAGCCGCCUUCCAGAUCGUUCCUUCCACUGUCCUGCAUACAGCAAGGAGCAAGGCAAUGUGCAGAAGACAGGAAAUUGGGUUUGCAAACUGGGGGAAAAAAGGUGAAAGGCUGCAAGAAAUAUUUCCACCAACCCUGCGCCUGCUAGCAACAGGAGAAAUAUUUGAGCGCCUCGCUGAGGAUGUAAGAAAAUCUUUCCACUGCAGUGAAGGAGGAUCUGGGUGAAGAUUAAGGGUUGCUAUUUUUUUUCUGUUAAUGACUUGCUUUGUUUCCAACUGAAAGAAGUUGGUUAGAGGAUAAGCCAAUGGACCCUACACUGUCUGCCUGCAAUGUGGGGCUUGAAGCCAAUUGGAAAUGACUCUUCAGAAGGUACCAUCUUGGACACAGCACCAGACACCUAUCCGGUCGGAAUACACUGCCAAUGAAAGGAUGAUUUCUUUUCCUGCUCUGCCUCAUAAGAGGAUAUUCUUGCUUCUCCACAUGUGAAGGGAAGAUGGGUCCCUCCCAUGGGGAAUGUUACUGCUGGCCAUCACUUCCUUUCUGAAAGCCCCAUUUGAAAAGGAGGAAAUAGUUGGUGGAGGAAGUUCCUGAAAAGGAAUCUUUCAAAUCCUUAUUUUUGUCAGUUUUUUUUUUUUCUUUCAGGGGACACCCAAUACGAUGGAAAUAAUUGGCGUGGCUGCCUCAAGUGAUGGAAAAAGUACAGAAAACUGCAAGGGGUGUGACAGCAAGAAAACCAGCUUCUUCUCCAUUUAUUGUACAAUAUUUAUCAUCAACCCGUUUUGUAUAUUUUGCUUUCUUUUGUGUAAUCUUAUCAUCACUGGGGUUGAAAACGAUGUGAUUUUUCUCCUUUGAGUAGUUGCCAAAAAAGCACUUACGUCGGAGUAUUAGUGUAUCAUUUGGCUAGCACAUCACAUAAUGGUUUUUUUACAGCAAGUAUUUAACCAUGUUUUCAUCCUGUGGGAAAGAAUGAUGGGUCUGUUUUGUAAAAAUAAGACCUUGUGGCAAUGUGGACAUGCAAGAGAUAGAAACAUAAUGCAACAAAUUAGUUUCAACACACAGAAAUGAGGUAGUCCAGGCUCCAUAUACAUUCAGCAGUGCUGGUUUUUCUCUCUCCUUUGUCUCUACUUUUGUCUCUUCUUUUGAAAUGCGUUGCCUGAUUUUAUGGGAAAACUUUGCAAGCAGAACCUAUUAGAAUUCAACCAGCCACCUACCUGGUUUGGGUACGCAAGCAUAUGUUCUUUGCAUACAUGCAGGUAAAACAGUGUUUAUGAGAACGUGUGAGAGAGGGACAAGUUAGGGGUGCCAUGCAGAUAUGAUCAAAUUCAUCCAUUCUGCAUGAUUCGAUGCAAGCUCGUGGUGUUAUAUCAAGAAGCAAAUUAGGUUUAUUAUAUGCUGAGAAGAUGCUUUGGUUUUUAGUGAUGGUAUUGUGAAGUAGGAGAAAUUUGAUCUAAUGUCAUCACAGAAAAUGAAGACCUGGAGCAAAAAAUAAUUUGUCUUUAGGUACUUCGGAAAUAAUCAAACAGUUCAUCAUUACAGUUUCAAGUGAUCCCAUCAACUCUUUUCCAAAUAGCAGCUAAGUGAAUUUCUAUUAUAACCUGAAACCCACCAUUAAUUUGAAAACCAUCCGUGCCGCGAUUCACGUCUUUCCAAUCUGUGUGUUUUAUAACCUGCCCAGAAUAACAGUCGUGCUCACCUCCAUUGAGAGGGGAAAAAAUAUGUUUAGAAAUGGGAGAACUUUAUUCUUUUUAGUGAAGUAUCCCAGUGAGCUGCGACUUUCUUGUCCUUCAUAUGUAAAAAUUCAUCAGGCUCUCUCUGUUUUCACAGAGUAACUAUAAUCUGUUUGAUGUCCACCUUCCCUCUUCCUACCAGCUGCUUACCCUUUUCUGCAGUUGCAUGCACAUUCGUAUUUUGUCAUGUCUGAAUUCAGACCCACAGUCUGGAAAUGCCAUGUACGUGCCUAAAUGUACUUAUGUGAGAAGUGGAGUUAAGCAUAUGGCUACAUGAUUUCUAUGUUAAAAAAAAAUGCCAUUCAGUAAAUUUAUUGGGGUUUUAUAAUGAGUUAUCAUCAGUAGUUGCACUAAAAUACAACUUGGGGAAAAAAAAAAUCCAUUGCAAAGGCUUUGUGACAGAGUGGGCUUUUUGUAUGUCUUUUAUUUGCUUGCUAAUUUACAACAUUCCAUAAUUCUGGCCCUUCUAAAAACAUCUACGAAUUGUUCUCCAAAAGCCUUUCAUCCUGGAAGGUGCUGGACAGUCACAGAGUCUGAUGUGAGGCAGGGUGCUCGGAACCUGCCCUUCGGGUGUGCGAGUCGCUCCUUUGAACCAUCGGGUUUUAUGGUAGCAGGAGCACACCUAAGGGGGGUUUCUCCAGGCUGCGUUAGUGCUUCGGGACAGGGACUGUCCUGUUUUUCAAAACAGGAAAGCCCCUGUUGCAUAAUGCCGCCCUGUUGUACUACAAUAACAAGUCAUUAGAAAAUAGAGGUGGGAGAGAGAGAUGAAGGCUAUCCCGUUGUGCCUACAGUCCUGCUAAGGAGGGUGCACCCAGUGGCGCAGCAGUAUUUUUCUAACCAGUUUGUUUUCCCAACCGGUUUGCUCUCCUAACCAAUUUUGCUCUCAUAGUGAGUAGAGCUUCACCUUUCUUGUGCUGUAAGAAGAGUGAUUAAAGGCAGCUGAGAGAAGGUGAGUCAACAGUGACUAAAGACCAUGCAUAAAUUCCUAACGAAUGGCUAGCCGGGGAGAUAAACAGCAGAAACAUGAAGCAGCCUUACUAUACUUUGAGUAACACUUUAUCUUCAUGGAAACGUCACCACUGUGUUAUAUCAUUUCCUCUCCAGAUAUGGCAGUGGAAGUGCAAGACCUUCCCAUAAUGGGGCAUAAGGUGAUUGGGAUGUUUUUCAUGGCUGCCUUGGGAGUGCCAUCAGCCAUAACAGAGCAAGAACUUGGGUCAAGGAGAAGAGCUAAUAAAUGACCUUUGCAAUAGUGUAAUCAAGUCAAGCCCACCAAAAAAUGAUAGGUGAGGCAAGAGUUUGCUCAGGAGCUGAGUCCUUCCCGCAGGGCAUAACCGGGCAGUCAGCUAGAUAGGAGCAAACUUGCAACACUGGAUUUUUUUGGAGGGCUUGUGUUAUCCUCGAUAAAAAUCUCUUUGGUAUUUGGGGCAGAAUGGCUCUGCUGGAUGCUCCAUCCAGCUCUUUCCAUUACCUUUGCAAGUAUUUUCAUUGCCACUCUGCCAAAAUCAUGGUGUUUAGUUAUCCUUGCUUCAAAUAAAGUGCUCUGGUCUAAAUGCAUCUCCUUGAACUUGGGGGUGUCCUUCUCUUCUGCAGGGUCAGAUCCUGCACAAAUCCCAAAUGCACAUGGCACAAAUGCAGCAGCGAGCAUUGUCACAGGUCUGCACGCAUCUAGCAUUCCUUGUGAAAGGCUCCAAAGUAGAUGUCUUGUGCAGAAAAAAAGUUUAAACAAAACUUAAGUUUCUAGAAAAUCUUUUUGUAUUAUUUCUCUUAGAGAAAGAAAAUCUUUCCUCCCAUGAUGAAUUCUAAUUAAUUUUUGGGAAAUAUGUUUUUUUGCAAGGUCUUACAAUAUGACAGGAAUCAAAGGACUACACAGAGCCUUGUGUUAAAUCAGAGAUUUAACAGAAAGAUUUGUUUUCUUAUUUAAUGUGACUUUUUGAGCUUAAAGAUUUGAAUGUUCCAUUUCUUUUUUUUUUUUUUUCCCCUAAAAGAGUUUAUCUUACUGUCUGAAAUAUUUUGUGAACCUUGCUUUUUUACUACUGUAGAGGGUAUCUUUCAGGUAAGUUCUUGUUUCUUGCAUUUCUAUUUUACAGUUAUAGGGAUGUAAGAGAAGGAACAUGCGUUUUCAUGAAAUAAUCAUCUGACAUGAACUUAUGGUAAAUGUAUUUGCUCUGCCUGUUUCCUGUUUGUAUUGACUUUCCAUGAAUUUCCUGGCACACGUACAGAUGAGUAUAUAUAGGAAUACGGCUGGCAACAGAUACAUGCAGCUAAUGGUGGAAAAUGGUCAGGGGUAGGGGUCAUUUUCAAGCUCUCUUUAGUGUCUUUCCCUAUAAUUUUUUUGACUAAGAAGGUAUACACAGUCAUCUGACAGGUACGGUCACUUAAAGCCAGAUGUAAUUUCUGUUUUUCCGAUGACAAAUGCUGCGAUGAAUGAUGCCAGUAACAAAAAUUAGUUGCAGAAAAUUAAAAAAAGAUAUCCAAAGCCACUGCAGACUCCUUACUGGCUGUUUGCAGGGUGAAAACAAAAUUCAUUAAAUAAAUAAUUUGAUCCAAAUGAUUUGUCCGGUCGUUGGUGGGGCUAACAGAAUGUCUGGGCUUGUCUAGCAGUUUGGUUAGUUACAGAGAUGAGGAACGUGAUACAGAAAUAUGGUUUUUUAGAAAGCUGCUCUCUUCUUGGCUGGGAAGGAAGCACCAGCACUGUAUCGUGAGACCUUUCCCAGUCCAGACUUAGAAUGCAACCAUUCAGUUAGAAGAAAAUGGUACUAAGAAGGAGGUGGGCCAGUGUGUCUUGGUGUUGAUCCCAUCACUAGAAUACUGAAGCGCAAAAUUGGAACACGACUGUAGGAAUGGUUGAGGAACAUUUCCAUGUAGGUUGAAUAAACUGUGCUCAUCUUUGGCCCCACUCUAUAACAUGGAAAUCAGAGUGGUUUUGGAAUAUGCAUUUGGAAAACCAGGUGCAGCAUGGAUCCAGUUUUUGUUUCAUCCAAAUGAGUGGAUCUUUGAGAGUACAGAUUUAACAGAAAUGGGUUUGGCCAACAAUGAGAGCAGGCCAGUAAAUUCCACCAGUACCAAGAAACUUCCCCGGCCUUACAUAUAGUUCAGAACCAUCUCCAAACUCAGGGACCCCCUUGGCUAUGGGUUUUAUGUGUCACAAAGGCUGGCUCUGACAAACAUUUUUAGAAUCACCAUCUGUCAGCUUUUCCUUCAGGGAUCCCCAUUUACAAUAGCUUGUAUCCAGGCCAUGUGCAAAUCCCACUGGGCUGAAACUUGGCCCUGUACUAGGUUGGCCUGGAUGCAAUUAGCAAACACAAAAUUUAUUCAAUUUAGUUUGGCCAAAAAUAUAAGAUUCUUUUGUUUGCAGAUGCUGAAGUUGAGAUGCCUUUCCAAACUUAUCAAGGACAAGAGAACCGUUUUGGAGAAAAUAAGAGCCAACCCCAAAGUCAUCCUAGAAUUCAAGUUGAACUGCAAACCUAAGCACCAAAUCAUUUGUGAAGCUCAGAAAUUGAGUCCAUUUUUUAAAAUUUCUUUAAUUUUCAUUACUGUCUCUGAAAUUCAUUGUUCUAGUUGAGCUCUAUACAGAAACAUUGGAAGAGGACACCCAGCACUCACAGCAUCCAGCGGGAGCAGCAGGAAGCAUCAGAUAUUGCUGGGGAAUUCUUCAGUUCCAGAAGUUUUGGAGAAACGUCUGAUCCAAAUUCUGGAGUGGAGGGAACCUGCUGGGGAGAGUGAUGUGCUGGAGCUAUCCUUGUCCCAAGCAAUAGAGCCAUCCCAUGUUGAGAACAGCCCCAAGAGCAUGAUCCUGCACCCAUGAAGAACACAAGGACAAAGAGGUUUUGGAUCUGUUAGCACCACUCCUGGGAAGUGCUGAGAGCCGUAUGCCCUGCAGUGCACAAGGAGCGGUGGAAGAUCUGCAUUCCUCCUGGACCCAGCACUUACUGGAUACACGAGCUCCGAGGUCUGGCACUGGCAGUACGGCACGCGUGGACCGGCGCCGGCGCGCACCUGGGCGCAGCUCAGAUCGCCCUGCAAAGCAUGCACCAGCAGACCUGGAAACCUCCAUGCCCAAGCAGCAGCUUCCCAUCGCUGUGCCAUGUCUCUGCCCUUCUGUGGGGGAUACACAAGGGGUGAACAGGCACGGGGGUUUUGGGGGAAGUGAACCCCAGCUUCUGUCCCGCGUUUCAACUUCCGUGGCCGACAUCAAACGCGUCGCUGCAGCCUGAGCCCCCACAGGCCUGACGGAGGAGCAAAAAGAGAGGGCUGGAGGCAGCAGAUCCUAAUCUUUAUUAAAUAAGAACAAAGCUUAUGCCGGCUAAUGAGAAAAACAAACUGAUGAAAGAUCCGGCGAGCUCCUCCGAAGGACACAAAGAAAUUCUCUCUGAACGAGAGCACGCUAAAAAUAUGCCCGAAUAUUUAUUUUGCUGGCAGUGGCUUCACAGGCUCCAGAUUUGAUGCCGUCUCUUGGGGGACUGGCACAGUGACGAGGGAGCAGGGUGCUCUAUCCCGUGCCCCAUCCAGAGCUGUGGCAGUGCCAGGCAGUAGCCACUGGGUCUAUGUGCUGUUGGGCCUCCAUGGUGCCAGGCCUAUGUGCCACCAGGUCUGUGAGGAGAUAAGGGCACUUUGCUAUCUUUUGGAUGCCCCAUUCCUGGAGGUGUUCAAGGCCAGGAUGGAUGGAGCCCUGGGCAACCUGGUCUUGUGCCUGAUGUAGUGGUUGGCAACCCUGCCCGUGGCACAAGGUUGGAACUGGGUGAUCUUGGAGGUCCUUUCCAACCCAACCGUUCUGUGAUCGUUUUGUGCUCACUGUCUGGUGGUCUCAUCAAGGCAGAUCCCGCGCCAUAUGAAAGUGCAACAUAACAUAGCAGAGGGCUGUUCUGAAAUCCCCUCCCCAGCUCCCAGCCAGCUCCACCUGAGCCCCUGCAGCUCAGCUUUGCCCAAUGCUGGAUGUGACUAAAAACGUCACUUCUAAGGGCAAAAGCAACACGGUUCCUCCUCCACCUCUGCUGACCAUGAAACCUCAGCCUCUACUCUUUUAAUGUCCUGUGCCUGAACUUGCUGCCAGCAGGUCAAGGGGAACAUAAUUUACUCAGGCUUUGAUGCAUUUGAUACAGGUUGGGGUGAGAGGCGGGGGGAGGGAGGUUGCCCAGGAUGGGUUGGAAGGUGCCAGAGCCCUCUGCUAACCGUGAGGUGCUGCCUGGGGGGGCUCCUCGCAGCGGGUGGGAGGCAGCAGGCAUUUGUCUGCAGGCCCCUUCUUAUCUCCUGCUCUGAUGAGGAGAUUGGGAAGGAGGGGAGGCUCUGCCUGUGCUCAGUGCUGCCUGGAGAGGUUUCCGAGUGCUCAGGCUACAAACCCUGAAACACUGUGCACCCCCCCCCCGACUCCUGCCCCUCUCACUCCUCCAGCGACCGGCCUCAGCCACGUGCUGCUCGGUGUAGGACUUUCUGUAGGUACAGGAGCUGCAUCCCAUCCUGAAGCAAAGUGGGAGCUGACAGAUUUUGCAAACAGCCCCUCCCGACAGCACUGUUUUUGGAUUACAGCCUGCACCUCACUAUGAGCACCGCGCCAGAGACUGAUGCUUCCCAGCACAGGGAGAGGAAACCGAGGAAAAACACAGCACCCCCAGCGAGAAGAGGUGCCCAGGCUCUGCCCUGACCCACUGCUGUUCAGCAGGAGGAAGCAAAGUGGUGUGACUGCUGCGGUUUCAGUUCUCACCCCACCUCACUGCCCAGGAGCCAGGACCGUGGCUUAGGAGAGGAAAAGGUCCUUUGAGCCAACCUACUCUGGGGGGCUCCCCCAACCCUACGGAGGGGCUGGAAACAUGAGGGGGGCCUGGAAAAGCAGGGCACCCCUGCAAACCCCACUCCGGUGUAUUGAUAUUCAGUGCAGAGUGAGGGGUGUAAAUUCAGAGCUAUCUCCUCACCGCUCACCGUUUAUGCCGUUCAUUUCACAUAGAUGUCACUACUGCCUUAUAAGCACUCCUCCGAGCCAGCCGCUUAAAUGGACCCAGUGCAUUAUAGUAAUGGAGUAACUGUAUAAAAACAAUGAAAUCCAAUCUCUUUAAACUGAUUUGAUGUCUGCCUGAACCACAACAUUUCCUGCUAAUGGCUUCCUUCAUUUUGUAACCGUGAUCUCCACCUGAUCAGAUUACAGCUGUUUUUAAUUACAAAGCUAAUAGAGUUUGUAGGCAGUGUCGGGAGGAUGGCGCAUGCCCCAGGCAGAGAGGAGCUGGUGGGGGCUUGGGGUGGCUGUGCUGACAUUCAGCCUAUGGAGCAGACUGUCACAACACCAGGAUGGGGACAGCUGGGAGGGAUGGGGACAGAAUAGGGAUGUUGGUGCCAUCUGACUGCUACAGCUGAUGGGGCAGGAAAAAGCACUGAGGGUGACUGACAGUGGAAAAAGUCCUCAAGAUUGAUGUCUUUCUUAUGGGAUAGCACAGCCAGCUGCAGGGUUGGAUUCCUCCAUCUCAGCCUGGAUGGUUGAGAUGGGGAGCAUCUGUGCGGCUCAUCCUGGCCCCCCAAAGGCCUCGUUUUGUCUGGCCGUUGGUUUGUUUGCUGACUGCUCCAUUGCUGUGGGUUAGGAGCACAGAGCAGAGUAGCCGUGGGGAGAGAAGCAGUCUGAAAUCUGUUCCCAGAUGGUGAUGGCCGGGGAUGUUUGAUGCCCAGAAAACACUGUGGUGUGUUAGAGAUGCUUCUGAGUAGCCCAUGCUGGUGUUUAGGAUUCAGCUGAUGUUGGGCUCAGCUGAAAAAUAUCAGCAGUGAAGGAGAGCAGCAUCUCCAGCUUGCAGCCAAGUCCUGCUGUGAGAAUCUCCCAUUUGGGGUGCUGGAGUUGCUCACGUGCCCACCAAGGCACAGUGGUGAGUGAUCCACUCCCAGCAGCUUGGGCAAGGGGAGGACAAGGCAGGAGGAACCCCAGAGCACCACGGGGAAGUUCAUGCUGCUGAGACCUGCUUUGGAGCUGCUCCCACCGCCUGCUUCAUCGCACUGCUGAGGACGUUCAUCCUCCUCUGCCUUGGUGCAGGAGCUGCUUGUGCCAGUGACACCAACAUGAGCUGCCAAAACACCAAACACCAACAGCCAGUCCUGCCCGGGUGAGCGGAGCACGAGAACACACCAUCUCCUCCCCAUAACUUGGCACUCUGAGGUUAGCGAGAGCGUUCUCAGAGCAAACCCCAUCCUACACGAGCCGUUGCUGGUGAGACCCACCUGCGUGCGCUGCGCUGUGGAGCAGGAUCAGCAUUGCCAUCCAGGCUCUGCCUGUGCCCGAUGCACAAAACCGUGUGUUUGAGGAAGUACUUCUGGAGUUUGAAAAGCAUUGCUGGGGUUUGAGCUGGCUGUGGGUGGAAGGACCGAGCCUGGAAGGAAACCCCGUGUGAAAUCCCCAGCCUGCUUUGCAGAUGUUGGGCUGCUUCUGGAUGUCUGAAACGCUCCCGGUGGGCUUGGUGCCUCGCUGCAGUAAACACAGGCAGGGGGAGCUGGAAGAAGUGGGGAGAGCCGUGAUGUCUUCCAGGAGCUGUCUCAGGAGAGGGACUGGACCAGCCUGAAGGCCGCCAGAGCCAAAGCCCAGCAGCACAGCUUGGGACACAAGCAUCCCACACGGGGGACUAUUUUGAUGGAGCCGGAGAAGUGAUGACACAAAUAGCUGAUGACACAAAUAGUUCUGCUGGCGGAGCAGCAGAGGUGGCAACCUCUGGAUGGGAGCCAUGAGCAGCAGCUGCAGACAGGCACCUCUUCAUGGAGCUGGAACAGGAUGCAUAGCCCAGGGCUCCUGUCACCAUCCCACCAGUAUCACCAGGAAAGCUGUGACCCGGAUGAGCCGUUCAGUCUCCUUCCUGCACAAUAGUUCUGCCUUCUGCCAGCUCUUGCCCUGAAAAGCUGCAGGUUCAUCUGCUCAGCCCGACUCAAACAUGCACCAUCAACAGCUGGGCACCCCUACACUCCUGCAGUGUUAGGUCAGGCCCCACACUCCUGAGGUUCCAGGAGGUAAAAGUCAUUCAUUCUCAUCUCCAGGUUGGCGGGCUGAGCCAAAUUUUGACCACUGAGCCAUUGCUGUUGCUGGUUUGAAGAUCUUGGCUGGUCCUCGCAGAGCCAUGUGAUUUAAUAGUGGUAAAAGCAACUGUUGCAUGAAAAAUUGAAGCACCCUAUGCCACGCCGAAUGCUGAACGUUGCUGCCAUUUGGGAUAAUACUGGGAAAAGAGUGAACUGAUCGGUCACGUCCUGAAAGAUGGUCUACUUCUCAGUGAGACUUUGUGCCAGAUGGCAUCUGGGGCUGAGCGUCUUGGCAUCUUUCAGCCAAAGGAAUUGCUCCGCGCUUCACCUUCAAGCCUGUGCUUGUGCCACAGCUUUGGCAAUGUUUUCUGCUCAAAGCUCCGUUAUCUAGAAUGGCAGUGAAACCAUGGAGCCCAAAAGGGAGAAGCAUCCCAUCAUCUGCCUAGAAUACCUUUGCUGAGCUCCUGGGUGGAAAAAAAAAAAGGAGGAUUUACCUGAGUCCAGCCCGUCUGCAUGUGGGUCGGAACGUGUGUGUAUCCCAUUAACUCUGUCCUCGCUGCUCUCAAGAUGUCCCGCACAAAUGAUUUUAUUUUUUUUUUCGUAAGAAAAUAUAUUUUACUAGGCAGUUUUAUGAGAGCUGACAAAAUGCCUCAUAAAUAACCCAGCAGGAAAUAUGGGGUAAAUAAAAUUUUUACAACUUUAUCAUAAA